CCUACGGGGGGCAGCAGUGAGGAAUAUUGGUCAAUGGGCUUACGCCUGAACCAGCCAAGUCGCGUGAGGGAAGACUGCCCUAUGGGUUGUAAACCUCUUUUGUCAGGGAGCAACGCCGGCUACGUGUAGCCGGACUGAGAGUACCUGAAGAAAAAGCAUCGGCUAACUCCGUGCCAGCAGCCGCGGUAAUACGGGGGAUGCGAGCGUUAUCCGGAUUGAUUGGGUUUAAAGGGUGCGUAGGCGGAAUGCCAAGUCAGCGGUAAAAUCGCGGGGCUCAACCUCGCUCCGCCGUUGAAACUGGCGUUCUUGAGUGGGCGAGAAGUAUGCGGAAUGCGUGGUGUAGCGGUGAAAUGCAUAGAUAUCACGCAGAACUCCGAUUGCGAAGGCAGCAUACCGGCGCCCAACUGACGCUGAAGCACGAAAGCGUGGGUAUCGAACAGGAUUAGAUACCCGUGUAGUC
rnacentral:rRNA from 1 species